rnacentral:rRNA from 1 species
UGAGUCCAGUCAAAGAGGAUGUAAGARUCGUAAUAARGUUUUCGUAGGUAAACCUGCGGAAGGAUCAUUAUUGAAAGAAACCUCAGGCAGGGGGGAUAUGGUUGUAGCUGGCCUCUAGGGGCAUGUGCACACUGUGUCUCUCUUGCUUGUUUCUUCAUUUUCUCCACUUGUGCACUGCUUGUAGGCAGCCCUGUAUUGUUCAGGCUGUCUAUGAUUUUUUUUACAUACAUGAACAAUUGUUGUACAAAAUGUGAUAAAAAAUAGAAAUACAACUUUCAACAACGGAUCUCUUGGCUCUCGCACCGAUAAAAAACSCAGCAAAAUGCGAUAAGAAAUGUAAAUUGCAAAAUUCAGUGAAUCAUUAAAUCUUUAAACGCAUCUUGCGCCCCUUGGUAUYCCGAGGAGCAUGCCUGUUUGAGUGUCAUAAAAUUCUGUCAAAACAUGCACUUGAGUGUGUUUUGGAUUGUGGGAGUGUCUGCUGGCUUUAUGAGCCAGCUCUCCUGAAAUACAUUAGCUUUGGGGGGGAGGUGCCAAGUCACUUCUGCCUUUUCAUUGGUGUGAUAAAUGAAUUAACUUAUCUACCCCAGGAAAGCAGGCUUCAGGUGAUUACUAUGAUCUCUCUCUGCUCUCUAAUUGACAUUUGUCUGAUAACUURACCUCAAAUCAGGUAGGACUACCCGCUGAACUUAAGCAUAUCUCGAGUAG